rnacentral:rRNA from 1 species
UACAGAGGUCUCAAGCGUUGUCCGGAUUCACUGGGCGUAAAGGGUGCGUAGGCGGCGCGGUAAGUCGGGUGUGAAAUCUCGGAGCUUAACUCCGAAGCUGCAUUCGAUACUGCCGUGCUUGAGGACUGGAGAGGAGACUGGAAUUUACGGUGUAGCGGUGAAAUGCGUAGAUAUCGUAAGGAAGACCAGUGGCGAAGGCGGGUCUCUGGACAGUUCCUGACGCUGAGGCACGAAGGUCAGGGGAGCAAACGGG